GAUGAACGCUGGCGGCGUGCUUAACACAUGCAAGUCGAACGGAAAGCCGCCUUUGGGGGUACUCGAGUGGCGAGCGGGGGAGUAAAACGUUAGUAACCUUCCCUUGACGUCGGGAUAACCUCACGAAAAUGGGGGUAAUACCCGAGAGAAAUCCGUGCGGCACAGUGGGGGUUGGAAAGCUUCGGCGGUUUUGGAUGGACUCGCGGCUUAUCAGCUUGUUGGUGGGGUAGUGGCUUACCAAGGCUUUGACGGGUAGCCGGCCUCAGAGGGCGAUCGGCCGCCUUGGGACUGCGAUGAGGCGCAGCUUCCUACGAGGGGAGGCAGCGGGGAAGAUUGCACGAUGGGGGGAGGAACGAUGCAGCAGCGCUGCGGGGGGGAUGACGGAGGUUGGGUUGUAAAACGGUUUUAGCAGGAGGGAAGAUUGUGGUGACGGUACCUGCAGAAGAAGCAACGGCUAACUACGUG
rnacentral:rRNA from 1 species